UUUUUUGUCUUGUAAAUGGAAUGAUGGUGACCCAAACCCUCACCAGAGUAGCAAUUGGAGGGCAAGUCAGCAGACAGCAGCCGCGGUAAUUCCAGCUCCAAUAUCGUAUAUUAAACUUGGUGCAAUUAAAUAGCUCGUAGCUGUAUUUUUGCGUUAACGGUUUGACCAUUUGGUUGGUUAUUUCGUUUUCGCUUUUGGGAAUUUCCCUUUUUACUUUGAGAAAAUUAGAGUGUUUCAAGCAGACUUUUGUCUUGAAUACUUCAGCAUGGAAUAAUAGAGUAGGACUUUGGUUCUAUUUUGUUGGUUAUUGAACCUUAGUAAUGGUUAUUAGGAACGGUUGGGAGGCAUUCGUAUUUAACUGUCAGAGGUGAAAUUCUUAGAUUUGUUAAAGACGAACUACUGCGAAAGCAUUUGCCAAGGACGUUUCCAUUAAUCAAGAACGAAAGUUAGGGGAUCGAAGACGAUCAGAUACCGUCGAAGUCCUAACCAUAAACUAAAAAAUU
rnacentral:rRNA from 1 species